AUGAACGCUAGCGACAGGCUUAACACAUGCAAGUCGAGGGGCAGCACAGGUAGCAAUACCGGGUGGCGACCGGCGCACGGGUGAGUAACGCGUAUGCAACUUGCCUAUCAGAGGGGGAUAACCCGGCGAAAGUCGGACUAAUACCGCAUGAAGCAGGGGCCCCGCAUGGGGAUAUUUGCUAAAGAUUCAUCGCUGAUAGAUAGGCAUGCGUUCCAUUAGGCAGUUGGCGGGGUAACGGCCCACCAAACCGACGAUGGAUAGGGGUUCUGAGAGGAAGGUCCCCCACAUUGGUACUGAGACACGGACCAAACUCCUACGGGAGGCAGCAGUGAGGAAUAUUGGUCAAUGGCCGAGAGGCUGAACCAGCCAAGUCGCGUGGGGGAUGAAGGUUCUAUGGAUCGUAAACCUCUUUUAUAAGGGAAUAAAGUGCGGGACGUGUCCCGUUUUGUAUGUACCUUAUGAAUAAGGAUCGGCUAACUCCGUGCCAGCAGCCGCGGUAAUACGGAGGAUCCGAGCGUUAUCCGGAUUUAUUGGGUUUAAAGGGUGCGUAGGCGGCCUUUUAAGUCAGCGGUGAAAGUCUGUGGCUCAACCAUAGAAUUGCCGUUGAAACUGGGGGGCUUGAGUAUGUUUGAGGCAGGCGGAAUGCGUGGUGUAGCGGUGAAAUGCAUAGAUAUCACGCAGAACCCCGAUUGCGAAGGCAGCCUGCCAAGCCAUUACUGACGCUGAUGCACGAAAGCGUGGGGAUCAAACAGGAUUAGAUACCCUGGUAGUCCACGCAGUAAACGAUGAUCACUAGCUGUUUGCGAUACACUGUAAGCGGCACAGCGAAAGCGUUAAGUGAUCCACCUGGGGAGUACGCCGGCAACGGUGAAACUCAAAGGAAUUGACGGGGGCCCGCACAAGCGGAGGAACAUGUGGUUUAAUUCGAUGAUACGCGAGGAACCUUACCCGGGUUUGAACGCAUUCGGACCGAGGUGGAAACACCUUUUCUAGCAAUAGCCGUUUGCGAGGUGCUGCAUGGUUGUCGUCAGCUCGUGCCGUGAGGUGUCGGCUUAAGUGCCAUAACGAGCGCAACCCUUGCCACUAGUUACUAACAGGUAAAGCUGAGGACUCUGGUGGGACUGCCAGCGUAAGCUGCGAGGAAGGCGGGGAUGACGUCAAAUCAGCACGGCCCUUACAUCCGGGGCGACACACGUGUUACAAUGGCGUGGACAAAGGGAAGCCACCUGGCGACAGGGAGCGAAUCCCCAAACCACGUCUCAGUUCGGAUCGGAGUCUGCAACCCGACUCCGUGAAGCUGGAUUCGCUAGUAAUCGCGCAUCAGCCAUGGCGCGGUGAAUACGUUCCCGGGCCUUGUACACACCGCCCGUCAAGCCAUGGGAGCCGGGGGUACCUGAAGUCCGUAACCGCGAGGAUCGGCCUAGGGUAAAACUGGUGACUGGGGCU
rnacentral:rRNA from 1 species